CUUACCCUGCGGUGUUCGACAGCGACAUGUGUUGUCUUGAGCCGAUAAGCAAUUGCUUACCGAAACCAAAAUCCGAGGUUGAAAAACAGGCCCGCUCUGACGGGAAGUUUGCCAUCCUCCUGCGGUUUCACUCUUGGACCACCAGGUUCAAGAACCCCGUUCGCAUCGGCACUGUGGGGCCCUC
rnacentral:other from 1 species